UUAGAGUGGAGAGAAGAAGAGAAGGGCUAGGUCCUAAACAUGCAAAGAUGAGAGAAGAGAAAUAAAACAACUUGGAGUUUCCUUCUUGAGAUCAUAAAGAUGAUCCAAGUUGCUCCCUUCCUUUGGACUUAGCAAAUAAUAAGCAAAUAACUCAAGCAAUCCAAGCAAAUAUUCAAUCAAGCUCCUAGGAUCCUCCAAUUUGGACUUGUC
rnacentral:lncRNA from 1 species